rnacentral:rRNA from 1 species
UAGGGAAUCUUCCGCAAUGGACGCAAGUCUGACGGAGCAACGCCGCGUGAGUGAAGAAGGAUUUCGGUUCGUAAAACUCUGUUGUUAGAGAAGAACAGCGCAUAGAGUAACUGUUAUGCGUGUGACGGUAUCUAACCAGAAAGCCACGGCUAACUACGUGCCAGCAGCCGCGGUAAUACGUAGGUGGCAAGCGUUGUCCGGAUUUAUUGGGCGUAAAGCGAGCGCAGGCGGUCAAUUAAGUCUGAUGUGAAAGCCCCCGGCUCAACCGGGGGGGGUCAUUGGAAACUGGUUGACUGAAGUGCAGAGGAGGGGAGUGGAAUUCGAGGUGUAGCGGUGAAAUGCGAAAAUAUAUGGAGGAACACCAGUGGCGAAGGCGACUCUCUGGUCUGUAACUGACGCGGAGGUUCGAAAGCGUGGGUAGCAAACAGG